GACGAACGCGGCGGCGUGCCUAAUACAUGCAAGUAGAACGCUGAAGGAGGAGCUUGAUUCUCUGGAUGAGUUUGCGAACGGGUGAGUAACGCGUAGGUAACCUGCCUGGUAGCGGGGGAUAACUAUUGGAAACGAUAGCUAAUACCGCAUAAGAGUAGAUGUUGCAUGACAUUUACUUAAAAGGUGCAAUUGCAUCACUACCAGAUGGACUGCGUUGUAUUAGCUAGUUGGUGGGGUAACGGCUCACCAAGGCGACGAUACAUAGCCGACCUGAGAGGGUGAUCGGCCACACUGGGACUGAGACACGGCCCAGACUCCUACGGGAGGCAGCAGUAGGGAAUCUUCGGCAAUGGACGGAAGUCUGACCGAGCAACGCCGCGUGAGUGAAGAAGGUUUUCGGAUCGUAAAGCUCUGUUGUAAGAGAAGAACGAGUGUGAGAGUGGAAAGUUCACACUGUGACGGUAUCUUACCAGAAAGGGACGGCUAACUACGUGCCAGCAGCCGCGGUAAUACGUAGGUCCCGAGCGUUGUCCGGAUUUAUUGGGCGUAAAGCGAGCGCAGGCGGUUAGAUAAGUCUGAAGUUAAAGGCUGUGGCUUAACCAUAGUACGCUUUGGAAACUGUUUAACUUGAGUGCAAGAGGGGAGAGUGGAAUUCCAUGUGUAGCGGUGAAAUGCGUAGAUAUAUGGAGGAACACCGGUGGCGAAAGCGGCUCUCUGGCUUGUAACUGACGCUGAGGCUCGAAAGCGUGGGGAGCAAACAGG
rnacentral:rRNA from 1 species